AUUGAACGCUGGAGGCAGGCUUAACACAUGCAAGUCGAACGAGUGGCGGACGGGUGAGUAAUGCUGGGGAAUCUAGCUGAUGGAGGGGGAUAACUACGGGAAACUGUAGAUAAUACCGCGUACCAUAGGAUGAGCCCAAGUGGGAUGAGGUAGUUGGUGAGGUAAAGGCUGACCAAGCCGACGAUCUCUAGCUGGUCUGAGCGGAUGACAAGCCACACGCGGACUGAGCCACGGCCCAGACUCCUACGUGAGGCAGCAGUGGUGACUAUUGCACAAUGGGCUCAAGCCUGAUGCAGCCAUGCCGCGUUUAUGAAGAAGGCCUUCGGGUUGUAAAGCACUUUCAGCGGGGAGGCGUUACCCGCAGAAGAAGCACCGGCUAACUCCGUGCCAGCCGCCGCGGUAAUAC
rnacentral:rRNA from 1 species